CGCCCCUGGGGCCGGGGAAGAUGAGGACGCUGAGGUCACGGUCGCACGCAACUCAAGCAGCGUCAACUCCGCAGGGCCAGGUGAAGGCGCCAAGAAGCGCGCGCCCGGCGUGCAGGAGGGCAAGCU
rnacentral:SRP_RNA from 1 species